AAUGCGUCUGAGUGCGGCAGUAGUUUUGGCCGGGCACCAGCGAGGCAAAGCAGGUGCAGUAAUUAGGAAUUGUAUAGCCAACAUGCAGGUUUAGUUUUUGUUUAAAAUACAAAACACCACUCCUUUGUCUUCAAACACACAUCUUGCUUUGCCAGUGAUCGUUAUUAUUUGUACACAAUUAAUUUUCUCUCGAUAUCAUUUGUAUAUAAAUGAUUUUUAUGAUAAAACUUUGCCAACAUCAACAUUUUAUUGUGAGUAUAUAUAUAUA